rnacentral:rRNA from 1 species
AGAGUUUGAUCCUGGCUCAGGACGAACGCUGGCGGCGUGCCUAAUACAUGCAAGUAGAACGCACAGUUUAUACCGUAGCUUGCUACACCAUAGACUGUGAGUUGCGAACGGGUGAGUAACGCGUAGGUAACCUGCCUGGUAGCGGGGGAUAACUAUUGGAAACGAUAGCUAAUACCGCAUAAUAUUAAUUAUUGCAUGAUAAUUAAUUAAAAGGUGCAAUUGCACCACUACCAGAUGGACCUGCGUUGUAUUAGCUAGUAGGUGAGGUAACGGCUCACCUAGGCGACGAUACAUAGCCGACCUGAGAGGGUGAUCGGCCACACUGGGACUGAGACACGGCCCAGACUCCUACGGGAGGCAGCAGUAGGGAAUCUUCGGCAAUGGACGAAAGUCUGACCGAGCAACGCCGCGUGAGUGAAGAAGGUUUUCGGAUCGUAAAGCUCUGUUGUAAGAGAAGAACGGGUGUGAGAGUGGAAAGUUCACACUGUGACGGUAUCUUACCAGAAAGGGACGGCUACUU